UACGAAGGGGGCUAGCGUUGCUCGGAAUCACUGGGCGUAAAGCGCACGUAGGCGGCUUGUUAAGUCGGGGGUGAAAUCCUGGAGCUCAACUCCAGAACUGCCCUCGAUACUGAUGAGCUCGAGUCCGGGAGAGGUGAGUGGAACUCCGAGUGUAGAGGUGAAAUUCGUAGAUAUUCGGAAGAACACCAGUGGCGAAGGCGGCUCACUGGCCCGGUACUGACGCUGAGGUGCGAAAGCGUGGGGAGCAAACAGG
rnacentral:rRNA from 1 species